CAGCUGACUUUGGCCUUUGGCAAGUAGCCCUGCAGGCUUGCUAUGUGGCAGAGUGGGCAGGUUACCGACUCCUCUCCACCCACACCCUCCUCCCACGUCCGGACCAGAGUGAAGGUCACACGUCUGAAUCAUCUCUGUGUUUAGGUUGCUGAAGACCAAGCUAACUCGGGACGCCAGCUGUUUGAACUGGAACCACAUUCCUGUUUUGACAUGAAAGGCAAAGGGAUCCCGUUUGGUACUACAUGAGGGAUGGUUAAAUUUACAUAGGAGGCAAGGCAAACAUCGAUGGUGAGGUCAUGCUGAUAACAGGUGUCUUUAUGGGACCCACAAAUAUACCAUUUACCUCACAAGCACCAACUGCAUUUCAAGGUUUUCCAUCAAUGGGGGUACCCGUGCCUGCAGCUCCUGGCCUUAUCGGAAACGUGAUGGGACAAAAUGCAAGCAUGAUGGUGGGCAUGCCCAUGCCCAAUGGGUUUAUGGGAAAUGCACAAACUGGUGUGAUGCCACUUCCUCAAAAUGUUGUUGGCCCCCAGGGAGGAAUGGUUGGACAGAUGGGUGCACCCCAAAGUAAGUUUGGCUUGCCACAAGCUCAACAGCCCCAGUGGAACCUCUCA